CAUUUUAUAAAUAUACACCCCAUGGAGCCGGGAUGCUGGAACAGUUUGCAUAGUGGGGAUGCUGAGAGUCAUUGAACCAAACUGUAAACCUUGUAUAUGAUGGAAACCACUUCAAGGCAG